rnacentral:rRNA from 1 species
GAUGAACGCUGGCGGCGUGCCUAAUACAUGCAAGUCGAGCGAACGGACGAGAAGCUUGCUUCUCUGAUGUUAGCGGCGGACGGGUGAGUAACACGUGGAUAACCUACCUAUAAGACUGGGAUAACUUCGGGAAACCGGAGCUAAUACCGGAUAAUAUUUUGAACCGCAUGGUUCAAUAGUGAAAGACGGUCUUGCUGUCACUUAUAGCUGGAUCCGCGCUGCAUUAGCUAGUUGUUAAGGUAACGGCUUACCAAGGCAACGAUGCAUAGCCGACCUGAGAGGGUGAUCGGCCACACUGGAACUGAGACACGGUCCAGACUCCUACGGGAGGCAGCAGUAGGGAAUCUUCCGCAAUGGGCGAAAGCCUGACGGAGCAACGCCGCGUGAGUGAUGAAGGUCUUCGGAUCGUAAAACUCUGUUAUUAGGGAAGAACAGAUGUGUAAGUAACUGUGCACAUCUUGACGGUACCUAAUCAGAAAGCCACGGCUAACUACGUG